rnacentral:lncRNA from 1 species
GCGCUCCGCCACUGCCCAGGCCGGCGGGCGGCACUCGGACCCGCCGCCCUCGGUCCCUCGCGAGGCCACGGAGGCCAACACGCCUCGCACGGGGGGACAGCGCGGGGGCAGCCGUCCAAACACCAGGCGUCCUCGGCUGGUCGUCCCAGGGCGCCCGCACCUCUCCGCCCGCGCUCUCCUGCCGCCGCGCCCCCAAGGUGAGUACCCGGCUGCGCGAGCGCCCGAGCUGGGCCACCUUCGGGGACCCGGGCCACUGGGGACACUCCCCUCUGGCCUCUCGGGGCCCAGGUGCGUAGCGGGCGGAAAGGCCAGCGGCGCAGGUGGAGCAGCUCGGACGGGAGCCGACCAGACGCUUCCUCUUCCCCUGUAGCCCCCAAACUCCGAGGCGCUGCGGCGGAGGGGCCGGGCUGAGCGCAGGCAGGGUGGCCCGGGCCCAGGAGCCUGACGGCCUGAGUGCGGAUUUCUCAUCUGAGUAUCUGGGAAUCGAGAAUGAAUUGGAAGGAAACCGAGGCGCUGCCCUGGCCAGGUUGCUGCCCCGCACCCUUCCGGAGCACCGAAGUCCUGCCCGGCAACGGGACUUGGAGCUGCCGCAGAGUCAGCCUGAGCCCGAGGCAGGGGUCGCGCCCGCGAUGCGGGGUCUCUGCGCCGCCCCGCGAGGCUCCUGGCCUUGCCCUCCCUGCCCUUUGUUGUGUAAUAAGACCUGUGGCGGCUCCACUGAGACCCACACGUGCAACUCCGCGCCUCCGCGUUAAAGGAGGUGAAACGCAGCAGCCCUGAGAAACCCCGAGACCCCGGUGUCCUAGCAGAGGCGCCCCGGAUGGGGAGGGGCGCGGGGCCGGCGCCACCCCAGAGGAAAAGCCCAGCGGAGCCGGGUUGGGCAGGAGCUGGCGGCGGCGGUGCGCUGGGCCUUCUGCCUUGGAUCCUCCGCGGUCGGCACCGCUUCCCUGCUCAGAUUCGAACCCAGAUUCGGCUCCCAAGGCUCCCACGGCUCCAGGGUGCCCAGUCUUGCAGCCAGCUCGCCGCCCGAGCCCCGGAUGGAGGAAGCGCUCACUGGCCGCUACCUCUGCUGUUUCUGGCACCAGAGAUUGAGACUGUGAACCUGAACUCCCUUGAUCUCCUCCCGUUGGGCCCAGGAGGGAGCCGAAUCCAGGCCCAACCGGGCUCACUGAGAAGGUGCAGGAAGCCCCCAACGACUCCUACUCGUGUGCGGCCCAUACUGGGCCAGGACGCUGCAGUGGCCGAGCCGCUGGGUGUCUGCAACGGGGAGCUCCCCCGCCGCUGGGGGCAAUAAACGGAAUCGGUUUCA